UACGUAGGUGGCAAGCGUUGUCCGGAUUUACUGGGCGUAAAGAGCGCGCAGGCGGUCGUUCAAGUCGCGUGUGAAAGCCCCCGGCUCAACUGGGGAGGGUCACGCGAUACUGAUCGACUGGAAGGCAGGAGAGGGUAGUGGAAUUCCCGGUGUAGCGGUGAAAUGCGUAGAUAUCGUUUGGAACGCCAAUGGUGAAAACAGGUUGCUGGGAGUGUGCUGACGCUGAGACACGAAAGCCAGGGGAGCAAACGGG
rnacentral:rRNA from 1 species